rnacentral:lncRNA from 1 species
CUCAGUUGCUCUGUUAAACAGCAAAAUUCCCAAGUCCUCAUCUCAAUGAGCCACUGAGGCCGAUGAAGAGGGCCUGUCUCAUUUAGGACAUGAGUGGCCAGGCGGGUGCCACAGGCCCUUUUCCUGGUGACAACAAAGCCAUUGCAUGGCUCCAGGAAGGCCACAUCAUUUCCUGGGUUUCGUAGGCGCCUGCGGGGCGGAAACAGUUCAGCAGGGCCCUCCUGAUCACAAGGACGAGGUCAUACCGGCUGCUGCAUGGCAGGGCUGCACUCUGCCAGGGAGCGUCCUGUGAUGGAGGGGCUGCACUGCCACUUUACUGAUGAGGAAAUUAAGGUUCAGAGAGAUGAGGUCAUUUCUUAGAGGCCAGACAGCCUCCUCAGCCCAUUUAUAAGGUUGUUUCUGUGGUAUUUGCCAUAAAGCCAUAGGUUCAUUGAUUUGUUCUUAAGUAGUUCUGAGCCCUUCCUGCAUAUCAGGCAGGGACAAACAGGAAAGUCCCUGCCUUUGGCAAGUGCGGGGGAAAUGAAAUGAUUCUGCUUAGCCGCAUCCAUUGGUCUGAACAAUCACGUCUCAUGACCGCAGGGACGCGGCUUCCCCUGAAUGCGGAUCCUAGAGGCCAGGCAGAAGCAGCAUGGGUUUCCACUCACACGAUCUAUCUACUGCUCAUGAAAUCUCUGGAUUUAACUCUGAUGAAAGACUGGAGGCUGAAGGAGAACUUCAAUAUCAUAUAUUUUAAAGGUUGACUCACAGUUUGGAGCAAGAAUUAAAGAACCACGAACUUCAAGGUAAAACGGGCAACGGCGUUGGGGCAAGCCUCUCUGCACCUGCGUGUCCAGCCUCUCCUGCAUGCCAGAAGUCCCCAGGCAGGAGUGUGGUGGGACAUCCGGCUGGGGUAAGGACAGGCACCCUCCCACAGUGUCAGGGCCCAGAGAGUGGGUGGAGAAGCUCUGCAAGAGACCUGUGCAAGGGCGCCUUGUAGGAGCCUGCAGUCCCCACAGGUGUGUUUGUGGAUAACACUUGGGGAGCCCUGGCCUUUUGGGGUCAUGGAGGGCUUGGCCUCUCACCUCAGAGCUGCGGAGGAGCCGCUUCUACAUCAGGACAUCAGAAGCUGGAACAGGAUGACCGGCAAGGGGCCUCUGGUUGGGGUCACAGAGAUGGGUCGCAGAGAUGGCCCGUGUGGAAGGUUGGAUUCUCACCCCACCUCUGCCCCUAGAUGUCCUGGUGACCCUCCCCUCUGUAGUCUUUGUUUUUUGCAAAACAGUUAUGACCUCCUGCCAUACUGGGUACUUUGCUUAUGUAUUGUGUUUACUCUUUACUGUGUGUCUCUCCUGCUAAGGUCUACGAAGAAGGGUCUUUGUGGGUGGGGUUCUUAGAGGCGUCCCAAGUACCAGAAGCAGUCCCUGGACUAAGGGGCUCAAUAAAUAUUUUUUAUUUAUUAUUUUUUCUUUUUGAGAUGGAGUCUCGCUCUCUUGACCAGGCUGGAGUACAGUGGCACAAUCUUGGCUCACUGCAGCCUUCGCCUCCUGGGUUCAAGUGAUUUCCGGCUAAUUUUUGUAUUUUUAGUAGAGACGGGGUUUCACCAUGUUGGCCAGGCUGGUCACAAACUCCUGACCUCAUGUGAUCCAUCCGCCUCAGCCUCCCAACAUGCUGGGAUUAUAGACAUUAGCCACCAUGCCUGGCCAAAUAUUUGUCAAAUUGAAUUUGUAUUUCCAUACAAAUUUUAGUCUGGAUGAAGUGCUUCAUGCCUGUAAUCCAAGCACUUUGAGAGGCUGAGGCGGGUGGAUGGCUUGAGCCCAGGAGUUUGAGACCAGCAUGGAAAACAUAGAGAAACCCCGUCUCAAUAUAAGAAGAAGAAGAAAAAGAAAAAAAAAAAUCAAAAACGAAAACAACACAAAUUUUAGGGUGAUGUAAAAUUCUCAAACAAUGAGAUAGAUAAAAAGUACGCAGCCAAAAAGUUCAAGAAGAAGUGUUAUGGAGAUGGAGCAGGCCCUUCGUAAAAACACGAUGUUGGUUUUCUGGAUUUUGUAUGUUUGCUUUUUUUUUUUCCUCAUCCUAAAGAAAUAUUCACUGUCAUACCUAAUU